CUCUGUAAGUUAAAAUGUUUGAUAUGUAACACACUGUACAGUUACUCGCAUGACUUUUAUUUUGAAACACCGCUCUUCGCGUGUGUUUUCUGUGUUCAGUGGAGGCGCAGUGUCGCGUGUGGCUACAGUCUGUUCAUACAAUGGCUGAUGAUGGUCCCGCAGAGGAGUAUCCCACUGAAAUAGAGGAGAACCUGAAUGAUUUUGACUCCUCUUUGAGCUCUGUCCAGAAUAUGGUCCAAACGCUUGUGUCUGUAUCCAGAAGUGACAAUCUGCUUAAGCUGGAUCCUCUUGAUCGAGCUAAAUUGGAUCUGAUGUCUGCGUAUGCCCUCAAUUCAAUGUUCUGGAGUAUUCAAAAUAUUUUACA